rnacentral:rRNA from 1 species
UACGUAGGGUGCAAGCGUUGUCCGGAAUUAUUGGGCGUAAAGAGCUCGUAGGCGGUCUGUCGCGUCUGCUGUGAAAACUCAGGGCUUAACCCUGAGCUUGCAGUGGGUACGGGCAGACUAGAGUGCGGUAGGGGAGACUGGAAUUCCUGGUGUAGCGGUGAAAUGCGCAGAUAUCAGGAGGAACACCGGUGGCGAAGGCGGGUCUCUGGGCCGAUACUGACGCUGAUGCACGAAAGCGUGGGGAGCAAACAGG